GACGAACCGUGCAAACGUUAUUCGGAAUCACUGGGCAUAAAGGGCGCGUAGGCGGCUCCAAAAGUCAGGGGUGAAAUCCGGCAGCUUAACUGUCGCAGUGCCUUUGAUACUGUGGAGCUAGAGGGAGGUAGGGGUCUGUGGAACUUCCGGUGGAGCGGUGAAAUGCGUUGAUAUCGGAAGGAACACCGGUGGCGAAGGCGGCAUCCUGGACCAACACUGACACUGAGGAGCGAAAGCCAGGGGAGCAAACGGG
rnacentral:rRNA from 1 species